GAUGAACGCUGGCGGCGUGCCUAAUACAUGCAAGUCGAGCGAACGGACGAGAAGCUUGCUCCUCUGAUGUUAGCGGCGGACGGGUGAGUAACACGUGGAUAACCUACCUAUAAGACUGGGAUAACUUCGGGAAACCGUAGCUAAUACCGGAUAAUAUUUUGAACCGCAUGGUUCAAUAGUGAAAGACGGUCUUGCUGUCACUUAUAGAUGGAUCCGCGCUGCAUUAGCUAGUUGGUAAGGUAACGGCUUACCAAGGCAACGAUGCAUAGCCGACCUGAGAGGGUGAUCGGCCACACUGGAACUGAGACACGGUCCAGACUCCUACGGGAGGCAGCAGUAGGGAAUCUUCCGCAAUGGGCGAAAGCCUGACGGAGCAACGCCGCGUGAGUGAUGAAGGUCUUCGGAUCGUAAAACUCUGUUAUUAGGGAAGAACAAAUGUGUAAGUAACUAUGCACAUCUUGACGGUACCUAAUCAGAAAGCCACGGCUAACUACGUG
rnacentral:rRNA from 1 species